rnacentral:rRNA from 1 species
AUACGGAGGGUGCAAACGUUGCUCGGAAUUACUGGGCGUAAAGCGCGCGUAGGCGGUUUAUCAAGUUGGGUGUGAAAGCCCUGGGCUCAACCCAGGAAGUGCAUUCAAAACUGGUAAACUUGAGUCUCGGAGGGGGUCAGGGAAUUCCCGGUGUAGAGGUGAAAUUCGUAGAUAUCGGGAGGAACACCAGUGGCGAAGGCGCUGACCUGGACGAUGACUGACGCUGAGGCGCGAAAGCAUGGGGAGCAAACAGGAUUAGAAACCCCGGUAGUCC